rnacentral:rRNA from 1 species
AUUGAACGCUGGCGGCAUGCCUUACACAUGCAAGUCGAACGGCAGCACGGGAGCAAUCCUGGUGGCGAGUGGCGAACGGGUGAGUAAUAUAUCGGAACGUGCCCAGUCGUGGGGAUAACGUAGCGAAAGCUACGCUAAUACCGCAUACGAUCUAUGGAUGAAAGCGGGGGAUCGCAAGACCUCGCGCGAUUGGAGCGGCCGAUAUCAGAUUAGGUAGUUGGUGAGGUAAAGGCUCACCAAGCCGACGAUCUGUAGCUGGUCUGAGAGGACGACCAGCCACACUGGGACUGAGACACGGCCCAGACUCCUACGGGAGGCAGCAGUGGGGGAAUUUUUGGGACAAUGGGCGCAAGCCUGAUCCAGCAAUGCCGCGUGCAGGAUGAAGGCCUUCGGUUGGUAAC